AGUGUAGCUCAGUUGGAAGAGCAGCGGUCUCCAAAACCGCAGGUCGAGAGUUCGAACCCCUCCGCU
rnacentral:tRNA from 1 species